rnacentral:lncRNA from 1 species
CAUCCUCACCCAGCCCCUCACCCAGUGGGAACGAUCUCAAGCCCCUUGAUUCCCCUUCAAAUCACGGACAGGCUGACCUGCUCCCCACUAAACCCACCUCACUGGCAUAGAACUGGGAGGGGAUGAAGCGAGAACACACCUGAUGUGGACACAGCCACCCCCUCGGGGCCUGCCUGCUCUCCCUCAGCCCAUUCACCACAUCUGCCUCACUGGGGAAAGGUGCUGGGGCUCAGCCACACCCCGGCCAGAUAUCCUGGGGCCCUGAUCCUCUGGGUCUGGCCUCGUGGUGGCAGCAGAGACGCGGGGGCACAGGGAGCCAGGAAAAUGGUCCCCCAGCUGGGUCCUAAUAAUGGCCACUGCGGGGUGAGCACCUGGGGUGUCAGGCUGGGCGGUGGUGGCUCCUGCACACCUUUGUGCUCUUGCUGGGGCUCCAGAGGCCAGCCGGGGACACGAGCAGACCACGCUCCCCACGGCCCUGGCCUUGACCGAGGCCACAUGCCAGAGCUGCCCCAGAGCCAGAACCCAAGCCCGGCUGCCUGGCUCCAAAGCCCACAGCUGCCAGGGCCUCCCCCGCGGCCUCCUCCCGCCUCCCCUCCACGUGGCCCUGGGCUCCCCGCACCCUUUCUCUUGACUCCAGGUGAAGCCAGAGGUCCUCAGCCACCCCGAGCGGUUCUCUCUCAUCUACUCGGGUCACCCGUUCAUCGUGCCAGGAGGACGCUUUGUCGAGUUCUAUUACUGGGACUCCUACUGGGUGAUGGAGGGUCUGCUCCUGUCCGAGAUGCCAGGGACGGUGAAGGGCAUGCUGCAGAACUUCCUGGACCUGGUGCAGACGUACGGACACG